rnacentral:rRNA from 1 species
GUCCACGCCCUAAACGAUGUCAACUAGGUGUUGGGGAAGGAGACUUCUUUAGUACCGCAGCUAACGCGUGAAGUUGACCGCCUGGGGAGUACGGUCGCAAGAUUAAAACUCAAAGGAAUUGACGGGGACCCGCACAAGCGGUGGAUUAUGUGGAUUAAUUCGAUGCAACGCGAAAACCUUACCUACCCUUGACAUGUCAGGAAGAUCGCAGAGAUGUGAUUGUGCCCGAAAGGGAACCUGAACACAGGUGCUGCAUGGCUGUCGU